GUGGGGAAUCUUGCGCAAUGGGCGAAAGCCUGACGCAGCCAUGCCGCGUGAAUGAUGAAGGUCUUAGGAUUGUAAAAUUCUUUCACCGGGGACGAUAAUGACGGUACCCGGAGAAGAAGCCCCGGCUAACUUCGUGCCAGCAGCCGCGGUAAUACGAAGGGGGCUAGCGUUGCUCGGAAUUACUGGGCGUAAAGGGCGCGUAGGCGGACAGUUUAGUCAGAGGUGAAAGCCCAGGGCUCAACCUUGGAAUUGCCUUUGAUACUGGCUGUCUUGAGUGUGGGAGAGGUGAGUGGAACUCCGAGUGUAGAGGUGAAAUUCGUAGAUAUUCGGAAGAACACCAGUGGCGAAGGCGACUCACUGGCCCAAUACUGACGCUGAGGCGCGAAAGCGUGGGGAGCAAACAGGAUUAGAAACCCGAGUAGUCC
rnacentral:rRNA from 1 species